rnacentral:rRNA from 1 species
CCUACGAUGUGCAGCAGUGGGGAAUAUUGGACAAUGGGCGAAAGCCUGAUCCAGCCAUGCCGCGUGUGUGAAGAAGGCCUUCGGGUUGUAAAGCACUUUCAGUGGGGAAGAAAGCCUUGGGGCUAAUACCCUCGAGGAAGGACAUCACCCACAGAAGAAGCACCGGCUAACUCCGUGCCAGCAGCCGCGGUAAUACGGAGGGUGCGAGCGUUAAUCGGAAUUACUGGGCGUAAAGCGCGCGUAGGCGGUCUGAUAAGCCGGUUGUGAAAGCCCCGGGCUCAACCUGGGAACGGCAUCCGGAACUGUCAGGCUAGAGUGCAGGAGAGGAAGGUAGAAUUCCCGGUGUAGCGGUGAAAUGCGUAGAGAUCGGGAGGAAUACCAGUGGCGAAGGCGGCCUUCUGGACUGACACUGACGCUGAGGUGCGAAAGCGUGGGUAGCAAACAGGAUUAGAUACCCCUGUAGUC